rnacentral:rRNA from 1 species
AUUGAACGCUGGCGGCAUGCCUUACACAUGCAAGUCGAACGGCAGCACGGGAGCAAUCCUGGUGGCGAGUGGCGAACGGGUGAGUAAUGUAUCGGAACGUGCCCAGUCGUGGGGGAUAACGUAACGAAAGCUACGCUAAUACCGCGUACGAUCUCUGGAUGAAAGCGGGGGAUCGCAAGACCUCGCGCGAUUGGAGCGGCCGAUAUCAGACUAGGUAGUUGGGGGGGUAAAGGCCCACCAAGCCUGCGAUCUGUAGCUGGUCUGAGAGAACGACCAGCCACACUGGAACUGAGACACGGUCCAGACUCCUACGGGAGACAGCAGUGGGGAAUUUUGGACAAUGGGCGCAAGCCUGAUCCAGCAAUGCCGCGUGCAGGAUGAAGGCCUUCGGGUUGUAAACUGCUUUUGUACGGAACGAAACGGCUUUUUCUAAUACAGAGAGCUAAUGACGGUACCGUAAGAAUAAGCACCGGCUAACUACGUGCCAGCCGCCGCAGUAA